GUACUUGUAGAUAUAAAUUGUUCAUAAAAACAUUGUUCCCUGAAUAGACAAAUCACAAGUGUUUUUCACUUGAGCAAAGAGGACUGUUCCUGUACUCUUGGUACGGGAAAAUAUCUCCCCAUGCUGUUUUGGAAAGACUGCUGAAAGAUCACACAGCAUCAGGAGGUCUGGGCACAGUGGAGAAGGUAUUACACAAAAUCUCUAUCAGUGACAAAAGGCUGCCACUUGUAUUGAUAAGGAGAGAAGUAGCAGUAUCUGACACUUGAACAUAUUAAGGUAAGCAAAUGAAGGUUUUGGCACAGGUCUUGUUUCACUUUCCUAUACUUAUGUCAUGUUCAAAUCAGUAUCAGCUUACAUAUAUUACAUAAUCACCCAUCUGCUCCAGAGAUACAGUGACAGUUAGUUCCCUACCCCUAACCUCAACAGUAAAAUAUGGCUGUGGUGAUCUGUUAAACCCACAGAAAAGUAAAUAAGCAGACAAGGGAGAGAAUGGGAAGAAAAAUAGCAAGUUCUGUCUGAAAAAACUGAAUAGUUUCACUGAAAUUCACCAUGAAAAAGGAUUCACUGUGAACAUUUAUUAAAAGCAUAAAUAGCAAUGACUGGUGAUGGAAUAUUAGUAUCUAUUGCAUUUUCACAUGGUGCACAAGGCUUUUCCCAGUAGAUAAGUUAUAAAUAUGUUAUAAAGGAAUCUCUGAGGACAUCUGGGUGAUCUUCAGCAUUCAACAAAGUGAAACACAGAAAUACAGUUUUUGUCAGAUAAUUUAGUCUGAUUUAAUCUCCUAAAAAUCCUAAAGGAGCAUGGUAGAGGUUUUGUCCACUUGGAUUCUAGAAACUGAAGGGUUAGACAGAAGAAAGUUGGUUUUUUUUUUUUUUUCCAGUGCUUAGAUGUUUGUCUUACUCUACAAAAAGAACAAAAUGCCAUAAUUUCACAUUUUUUCUCUAGUGUGAAAACUGAAAGAAGAAUCAGGAAUGUGUAAGUUGUUUCAACAGUGUUUAUUGAAUAAAGUUAGUUAAUCUUUACCAGAAUAGGAAAUUGAUUUUUUCUUUACAGUCCAAGCGAGCUUUUACUUCCCACGUGUUCCUGCUUCUUUGUGGUGUGUCCUCAUGCCUAGAUACAACCUGGCCUAAGGAAGGCCAAAGAAAGCUGGUCUGAUACAAAAGCAGAGCGCAAGGGGGUGGAGGAGCUCAUGUAGGUACCACAGCUU
rnacentral:lncRNA from 1 species